rnacentral:rRNA from 1 species
GAACGCUGGCGGAAUGCUUUACACAUGCAAGUCGAACGGUAGAGGGGGCAACCCCUUGAGAGUGGCGAACGGGUGAGUAAUGUAUCGGAACGUGCCCAGUCGUGGGGGAUAACGUAGUGAAAAUUACGCUAAUACCGCAUACGAUCUAUGGAUGAAAGCGGGGGAUCGCAAGACCUCGCGCGAUUGGAGCGGCCGAUAUCAGAUUAGGUAGUUGGUGGGGUAAAGGCUCACCAAGCCAACGAUCUGUAGCUGGUCUGAGAGGACGACCAGCCACACUGGAACUGAGACACGGUCCAGACUCCUACGGGAGGCAGCAGUGGGGAAUUUUGGACAAUGGACGCAAGUCUGAUCCAGCCAUUCCGCGUGCAGGACGAAGGCCUUCGGGUUGUAAACUGCUUUUGUACGGAACGAAAAAGCUCUUAUUAAUACUAGGAGUCCAUGACGGUACCGUAAGAAUAAGCACCGGCUAACUACGUGCCAGCAGCCGCGGUAAUACGUAGGGUGCAAGCGUUAAUCGGAAUUACUGGGCGUAAAGCGUGCGCAGGCGGUUAUAUAAGACAGAUGUGAAAUCCCCGAGCUUAACUUGGGAACUGCAUUUGUGACUGUAUAGCUAGAGUACGGCAGAGGGGGAUGGAAUUCCGCGUGUAGCAGUGAAAUGCGUAGAUAUGCGGAGGAGCACCGAUGGCGAAGGCAAUCCCCUGGGCCUGUACUGACGCUCAUGCACGAAAGCGUGGGGAGCAAACAGGAUUAGAUACCCUGGUAGUCCACGCCCUAAACGAUGUCAACUGGUUGUUGGGUCUUCACUGACUCAGUAACGAAGCUAACGCGUGAAGUUGACCGCCUGGGGAGUACGGCCGCAAGGUUGAACUCAAGGAAUUGACGGGACCCGCACAGCGGUGGAUGAUGUGGUUUAAUUCGAUGCACGCGAAAACCUUACCCACC